UGGUGACGCGUGCGCCGGCCGGCCGCCGAGGGGCUACCGUUCUGCCUCCGACCGGUCGUGUGUGGGUUUACUCGGAGAAAUACUAGGCUUUAGAAUUUCACCAUAUGAAUUUUGGGAGAGAGGAGCACAGUUCAGCCCAUAACUAACACACGACGGAAUGAAGUUGAUAAUAGUGAGACCUUGUUGGUACAAGACUAUGUAACAUAACCUGCGCUUCUCAACAAAGAAUUGCUUUUCUGACUUCUGCACUCAGUAGACUACUCAACAUGAAGGCAAUAAGAAUGAAGACCUCUAUGUAUAAUAAUUGACUUCCACUUAAUAAAUAAGGUUACUUGGUACACUGGUCGACAAAACCUUGAAAUGUUGAUGUUUAAGGGCUGUUGAUUGCUGGCAGCAAAGAAGUCCAACUGUGCUGGUACCCGAGAUAGCGUCUCCACAUUUUCUUCCAGGAUCAUCACCUUUGUUCUAAAUAGCUCCCACAUAGUGUGAACAGAAGUCAUAUGUUUUAGAUUUUCUGCCUUGGCACCCAGGAAACCAGUAUGAUUGAGUAAACAUAUUAAACUUCCUCUGCAUUUCCAGCCUGAACAGAUGUUGAGUACAAGCUGAUCCACCUACGUUCAACCUGAGAGAGUCCACAUCCACAGACUGUUUCAUUUCCCUUUUUCAAUUUACAUAGAAGCAUAGAUUCUUGCUGGCAUAUACAAAUGCGCCAUUUAAGGCAAUCAAAAAUGGUUCCACAUCUCAUCUGAUUUCCACAAUUGUUGCUGUAACGAUGGACUACUGAGGAGAGAGACAAUUUCUCUGGCACAUCUUCCCACAUUUUAGCAACAUGUUCAUGGAGAGCCAAUAUUCAGUAAUUACAGCCCAAUUCCUCACAAUUUCACAAUUCGCUAACAAUAUGCAUUUUCACAAUGUAAAGCUGAUUUUCCUUUAACCAAAUCAAACAUGAAAAGAUAGCUGCAUGCAAUGGGCAAUCUAGAUCAUUAGAAGAUUGAUGUAAAAUUAGAGGACACUGAGACUGGAAUAGAUUGCAAACUUCAGGGAGCUCAGAAAACUUGUAAACUCUACAUUUUGAGGAAAUAUGUUGUCGAUGCUUUUGCAACUCUAUGCAGUAACUUAACAAAUAAAGCCUUAAAGUAAC
ensembl:lncRNA MIR663AHG MIR663A host gene